CCCUGCCCCCCUGCUGACGCCAUCAUUGCACCGCUCUGACCCCGCCCCCCUGUCGCCGAGCAACGACCAUUCCAGGCCACCGCCCCCUGUCGCCGUGGAGACCGAGGGGGCGGGGCCAGGGCGCGGGGGAGGGGGGCGCUGUAAAGUGACCGAUUUCUUUUAAUAACGUUAAAUAUUUUGAGACCCGACGCGCUCGUUGCCUGUGURUCGCCCCCCCUCCCGAGGGGCGGGGCCGGCGCCAGGCUCCGCCCCCCCAGCCCCUGCAGCAGAGAUUUGGGGGGAGGGGGGUGGUGCCGGCGGCUUCGGCCAAUGGGAGGGCGGGCUCCCCGGGCAGCGUGGCGGGCUGCGCUGCCAUUGGCUGCGGCUCCUUGGGGGAGGGGAGGCUGGUGCUGCAGGCGGUGCCAGGGGGCGGGGCCACACCUGGCCACACCCCAUUAAAGGUCUUUGAGCUGCCACGCCUGUUUCUGUGUCCCCGCCCCCUGCACUGCCACGCCCCUCCCCCUUCGCCACAGGGACGCCAGCCCAGGCCCCCACGUGGGGACGCCGUGGGGACGCUGUGGGGCAGGGGGACAUCACGGGGAUGCUGUGGGGCAGGGGGACGUCACGGGGACGCCGUGGGGCAGGGGGACGUCACGGGGACGCCAUGGGGACACCAUGGGGAUGCCGUGGGGCAGGGAGACAUCACAGGAUGCUGUGGGGAUGCCAUGGGGCAGGGAGACACUGUGGGGACACUGUGGGGACACCAUGGGGCAGGGGGAUGCCGUGGGGACACCGUGGGGAUGCCAUGGGGCAGGGGGACAUCACAGGACGCUGUGGGGAUGCCGUGGGGACACCAUGGGGACACCGUGGGGCAGGGGGACGUCACAGGGACGCCGUGGGGUGAUGCGGGGACACAGGGCCGCCAUGGGGCCGCCGUGGGGCCAGCACAGGGAUGUGGGGACACUGUGGGGCUGCCACGGGGGCAGGGGGGCACCUCGGGGAUGUCACGGGGGUGCCACGGGGACACCGUGGGGCUGGCUCGAGGACACAGGGAUGCCACAGGGCUGCUUUGGGGA
rnacentral:lncRNA from 1 species